UAGGGAAUCUUCGGCAAUGGGGGCAACCCUGACCGAGCAACGCCGCGUGAGUGAAGAAGGUUUUCGGAUCGUAAAGCUCUGUUGUAAGAGAAGAACGUGUGUGAGAGUGGAAAGUUCACACAGUGACGGUAACUUACCAGAAAGGGACGGCUAACUACGUGCCAGCAGCCGCGGUAAUACGUAGGUCCCGAGCGUUGUCCGGAUUUAUUGGGCGUAAAGCGAGCGCAGGCGGUUGAAUAAGUCUGAAGUUAAAGGCAGUGGCUUAACCAGUGUUCGCUUUGGCAACUGUUGAACUUGAGUGCAGAAGGGGAAAGUGGAAUUGCAUGUGUAGCGGUGAAAUGCGUAGAUGUAUGGGGGGACACCAGUGGCGAAAGCGGCACUCUGGUCUGUAACUGACGCUGAGGCUCGAAAGCGUGGGGAGCAAACAGG
rnacentral:rRNA from 1 species